GACGAACGCUGGCGGCGCGCUUAACACAUGCAAGUCGAACGGAAAGGCCUGCUUUCCCUUGUGGAUUGCGGGUACUCGAGUGGCGAACGGGUGAGUAACACGUGAGUGAUCUGCCCCCAACUUGGGUAUAAGCCUGGGAAACUGGGUCUAAUUCCCGAUAGGACUGCAGGGUGGUGCCUGUGGUGGAAAACGAUUUUCUAGUGGUUGGGGAUGAGCUCGCGGCCUAUCAGCUUGUUGGUGGGGUAAUGGCCUACCAAGGCGGCGACGGGUAGCCGGCCUGAGAGGGUGGACGGCCACAUUGGGACUGAGAUACGGCCCAGAAUCCUACGGGAGGCAGCAGUGGGGAAUAUUGCACAAUGGGCGGAAGCCUGAUGCAGCGACGCCGCGUGGGGGAUGACGGCCUUCGGGUUGUAAACUCCUUUCGACCGCGAGGAAGCCACCUGGUUGGAAGGGUGGUGACGGUAGUGGUAGAAGAAGCACCGGCUAACUACGUG
rnacentral:rRNA from 1 species